rnacentral:tRNA from 1 species
UGGGGUGUAGCUCAAUGGUAGAGCAUGUGCCUUGAAUGCACAAGGCCUUGGAUUUGAGUCCUAGCACAACAA